GAUGAACGCUGGCGGCGUGCCUAAUACAUGCAAGUCGAGCGAACAGAUGAGGAGCUUGCUCCUCUGACGUUAGCGGCGGACGGGUGAGUAACACGUGGAUAACCUACCUAUAAGACUGGGAUAACUUCGGGAAACCGGAGCUAAUACCGGAUAAUAUAUUGAACCGCAUGGUUCAAUAGUGAAAGACGGUUUUGCUGUCACUUAUAGAUGGAUCCGCGCCGCAUUAGCUAGUUGGUAAGGUAACGGCUUACCAAGGCAACGAUGCGUAGCCGACCUGAGAGGGUGAUCGGCCACACUGGAACUGAGACACGGUCCAGACUCCUACGGGAGGCAGCAGUAGGGAAUCUUCCGCAAUGGGCGAAAGCUUGACGGAGCAACGCCGCGUGAGUGAUGAAGGUCUUCGGAUCGUAAAACUCUGUUAUUAAGGAAGAACAAAUGUGUAAGUAACUAUGCACGUCUUGACGGUACCUAAUCAGAAAGCCACGGCUAACUACGUG
rnacentral:rRNA from 1 species